UGCAGUCGAGCGGAUGACGGGAGCUUGCUCCUUGAUUCAGCGGCGGACGGGUGAGUAAUGCCUAGGAAUCUGCCUGGUAGUGGGGGACAACGUUUCGAAAGGAACGCUAAUACCGCAUACGUCCUACGGGAGAAAGCAGGGGACCUUCGGGCCUUGCGCUAUCAGAUGAGCCUAGGUCGGAUUAGCUAGUUGGUGGGGUAAUGGCUCACCAAGGCGACGAUCCGUAACUGGUCUGAGAGGAUGAUCAGUCACACUGGAACUGAGACACGGUCCAGACUCCUACGGGAGGCAGCAGUGGGGAAUAUUGGACAAUGGGCGAAAGCCUGAUCCAGCCAUGCCGCGUGUGUGAAGAAGGUCUUCGGAUUGUAAAGCACUUUAAGUUGGGAGGAAGGGCAGUAAGCGAAUACCUUGCUGUUUUGACGUUACCGACAGAAUAAGCACCGGCUAACUCUGUGCC
rnacentral:rRNA from 1 species